rnacentral:rRNA from 1 species
UACGAAGGGUGCAAGCGUUACUCGGAAUUAUUGGGCGUAAAGGGCUCGUAGGCGGUUUGUCGCGUCGGGAGUGAAAUCCACUGGCUUAACUGGUGGCUUGCUUUCGAUACGGGCAGACUGGAGGUAUGCAGGGGAGAACGGAAUUCCUGGUGUAGCGGUGAAAUGCGCAGAUAUCGGAAGGAACAUCAGUGGCGAAAGCGGCUUCCUGGACCAGCACCGACGUUCAGGCACGAAAGCGUGGGGAGCAAACGGG